GUCCGUGCUACAGCUGGCUACAAAUCUGUAGCCCGCUGCCCUUCUCUCUCCUCUUCUAUCUUAUUAAAAUAUGUUUGCAGCUGGCUUAUAGCCUACUAUUGUACCUGCUCUUAAUAGCAAGUAUAAUAGGAGGCUAUAAAUCGGCUAAAUUCUAAUAUGGAGAAGAGAAAAGAGUAGAGAGAUGGGAAACGGGCUAUAAACUUACAGCUGGCUUAGACGCGAGAC
rnacentral:misc_RNA from 1 species